rnacentral:tRNA from 1 species
GAGGGUAUAGCCCAGUGGUAUAGCACAUGCUUAGCAUGCACAAGGUCCUGGGUUCAAUCCCCAGUACCUCCA